rnacentral:rRNA from 1 species
UACGUAGGGGGCAAGCGUUGUCCGGAUUCAUUGGGCGUAAAGAGCGUGUAGGCGGCCAGGUAGGUCGGUUGUGAAAACUGGAGGCUCAACCUUCAGACGUCGACCGAAACCAUCUGGCUAGAGUCCGGGAGAGGAGAGUGGAAUUCCUGGUGUAGCGGUGAAAUGCGCAGAUAUCUGGAGGAAUACCGGUGGCGAAGGCGGCAUCCUGGACCGACAUUGACGCUGAGGAGCGAAAGCUAGGGGAGCAAACGGG